GGCGAACAAGAAAAUUUACAAAAAUAAACGAUGUUUGACAAGCUAUUUGGAAAGGAACAUUACGUUUUUAAUGCAAUAAAUGGAUUAAACAUUAACUGGAGGCAACUAUUAUCACGGUUAAAUGAAGUAACUUAUUUUGCUGCCGAAAGUAAGUUUGAUGUGCGAUUUCGAGUUACAACUUCAGACAAGCACUGGAAGUGCACGAAGUGAUAAAAAGUUGUUAUUAAAUAACCUGCUACACACUGUAAAGACAAUGCUUCAACCUCUUUUCUUAAGAAAAUGAAUCGUUUAUGUCUGAAUUUCUUUCAUUAUCAAUAAAAAAUUGAUAUUUCAUUAACUUGGUAAAAAUUGAAAAAGUCUGAUGACGUAAGCGACUGAAAGCGAGUAUCCUAAACAACAGGACGAUUUGUUUUGCUUUUGGGGGUCGGGAAAGCAAAGUGACUGUCGGGAAAGCGAAUUCUUCGCCCUAGUCGCCUGGUAGCGUGAGCCCUGAUGUAUAGCAUAGCCAGACUACACAAUCUCCUUUUGUCAUAGUUGACUUGCUCCAUGUUUUAAAGCACCAUAGGACAGAAAAUUAUCUCUCACAACUACAAGACCUAACUGGCAAGGAUAACAGAAGCAAUAGUAUUUGUUUUAUAUUUGGGUAGAGUUGUGUGUGUUUGAUUGCUCUAUUGUACACUUUGACCUAAUCUCUAAAUGACUAUUAAAUAAUGCAUGAUUUUAACCAUUUUUUUUCCCUUCAUUUUCUAUUUUUUUUGUCAGUCCGCAAUAGCAGGCAUCUGCCGACAUGCAUCUAUGUAAUUGACGGCCCUGUACAAAGCAGGGUUUAUAGUCAUAUAACAUCAAAUUAUUCUCGUCUGGAAUUUGCAUUUUUAUGGCACUGGUCACAGCCUUCCAUCAUAAAAUAUACAAAUUCUAUCUUAGACUGGAUUAGUAAAACUCACAUCUAUUGAUUAA
rnacentral:lncRNA from 1 species